rnacentral:rRNA from 1 species
UACGUAGGGUGCAGGCGUUAAUCGGAAUUACUGGGCGUAAAGCGUGCGCAGGCGGUCUGCUAAGACAGAUGUGAAAUCCCCGGGCUCAACCUGGGAACUGCAUUUGUGACUGCACGGCUGGAGUGCGGCAGAGGGGGAUGGAAUUCCGCGUGUAGCAGUGAAAUGCGUAGAUAUGCGGAGGAACACCGAUGGCGAAGGCAAUCCCCUGGGCCUGCACUGACGCUCAUGCACGAAAGCGUGGGGAGCAAACAGG